UACGUAGGGGGCAAGCGUUGUUCGGAUUUAUUGGGCGUAAAGAGCGUGUAGGCGGCUAGAUAGGUCCGUUGUGAAAACUGGAGGCUCAACCUCCAGCUGUCGAUGGAAACCAUCUGGCUAGAGUCCGGAAGAGGAGAGUGGAAUUCCUGGUGUAGCGGUGAAAUGCGCAGAUAUCAGGAAGAACACCCGUGGCGAAGGCGGCUCUCUGGGACGUGACUGACGCUGAGACGCGAAAGCGUGGGGAGCGAACAGG
rnacentral:rRNA from 1 species